rnacentral:misc_RNA from 1 species
GAUGAAGAACGUAGUGAACUGCGAUAAGUAAUGUGAAUUGCAGAAUUCAGUGAAUCAUCGAAUCUUUGAACGCACAUUGCGCCCGCUGGUAUUCCGGCGGGCAUGCCUGUUCGAGCGUCAUUUCAACCCUCAAGCCCCCGGGUUUGGUGUUGGGGAUCGGCUCUGCCCUUCUGGGCGGUGCCGCCCCCGAAAUACAUUGGCGGUCUCGCUGCAGCCUCCAUUGCGUAGUAGCUAACACCUCGCAACUGGAACGCGGCGCGGCCAUGCCGUAAAACCCCAACUUCUGAAUGUUGACCUCGGAUCAGGUAGGAAUACCCGCUGAACUUAAGCAUAUCAAUAAGCGGAGGA